rnacentral:rRNA from 1 species
UACGGGGGGGGCAAGCGUUGUUCGGAAUUACUGGGCGUAAAGGGCUCGUAGGCGGCCAACUAAGUCAGACGUGAAAUCCCCCAGGCUCAACCUGGGAACUGCGUCUGAUACUGGAUGGCUUGAAUUCGGGAGAGGGAUGCGGAAUUCCAGGUGUAGCGGCGAAAUGCGUAGAUAUCUGGAGGAACACCGGUGGCGAAGGCGGCAUCCUGGACCAACACUGACGCUGAGUGAGCGAAAGCCAGGGGAGCAAACGGG